GGUUCCUGUCCAAAAGGAGAACUUGGGUAUCUAGGCAGCUGAAGAUUGCAGUUGCAGUGCUGUAGGCGAUGUCAAGGACAAAACCUGUGCAUCUGUGGAAUGGUGUGGGGCAAGGAGGGAAAUGGAAAGCCUCCACAGCUGAUACAAGUGGCCUUCCUCUGAAGUGCAGCCAUGUGGAAAGCCAGGGGAGGAGCACGGAGAGUGGCACAGCACCCAAGAGAGCAGUGGUGACCAGCUCGGAUGUGCCGGAGGACAUCAUGGACAUCCAGGAUUUGCUCUCUUGGAUCAGUGAUGAGUUUGGGGGCUGCAGAGCUGCAGAUGUGGUAAGAGCUGUUGAGGUCCCCCAUGAGAACCCCAGCAGCCCUGCUCCAGGAUGCUUCAUCGCUGAGCUCCCUGACAACACCGGGGACAGCAGAGAGCUCAGCACACAGCCUGCCUCCGGGACACCCACCGACCCUUUCUGGGGGCUUCCACCAUCCCCUGGGUUCCUGCCUGAGCUGCAGUGUGGGUUGUCGUACCCACCUGUGAGUGCCUGGCUCAGUCCACAACCAACCACCUUGGCUAUUACCACACAUCCCUCAGCCCAAAGCACACAGCCCAUCGAGGAGGUGCAGCAAAGGGAGCCGCAGGUGGUUGAGUCUCACUCGCCCCUGUCAUCGGGCUCUGUCACCAGCCGGGUGGCAGAAAAGAACAACAGGGGCAGCACCAAGCGGGCCAAGCGCCCUGCACCUGAUGGCAUCCCCCAGAAAGGGGAGAGCUCCAAGCAGGAGCAGCCCACCACCAGCGCUCCAGCCAAGAAAAGGAAGCUGCCACCAUGCAGGGAAAGAAUGGAGAGAAAAGGCCGCAAACACCCGUGCCAAGCAAAGCUGUCUGGGGCCAGUGCAGGAGCCAGUAGCAGCAGGCAAGUGGGCACUGCCAGUGAGCUGCGCAUGCACUUGUGUAAAUCCAUCCAGGCCAUGCACCCUCUGGGGCAGAGGGUGACUGUGGUGGGCCCGGUGCGCCAGCCACCCUCUGUGCAGCCCCAACCCUCACCCAGUGCUAGCCCUGCUGCCCUCCAGCCCCAACACAGCAGCACAGACAAGGCAGUGCCAGCAUCUCCAGGCAGCACGGUGCAAGAGGAGGGCACUGCCGAGAAGAUGGCACCAAGCUGCCUGCGCCCAUCCCCGCUGAGGAGAUCACCGCUGCAGAGGGACCCACCAUCACUACCACCACCACCACCACCAGUGCUGCACCAGCAGCAGCCUCAGCCGCAGCGCCCCAUGGACUCUGUGCCCUGCGUGGGGCCACGGGCGGGUGGCGGUGCAGCACCCAUAGUGAUGGAGGAGUCACUGCCCAUCACAGCCAAGCUGCGGCCCGAACGGGAGCGCAUGAAGAAGCUGGCCCAGGAGGAGCGGCAGCAGGCGGCCCAGCAGAUGAAGAUCGGCCCCGUGCAGUUCCUGGUGCAGCGGGAGAUAGACAUGGCCAUAGCCAACCAGUACGGCUACCCGUAACCCUGCGCUCCUCGCCGGCCCUGCGGCACCAGGCAGCAGCGGCAGUGGUCCAGAGGCACCACCAGCAGCCCCAUCCCUCCCCUCCAGAACCCAGCCAUCCUCCAAAGUCAUCAUUGCAGCGCUGUGGAAUGUUGUCUGGGCAAUCAACUGUUGUGGGAUGGGAAUUUGGGGAUUUUUGUUGUUACUGUUACUCCUUGUUUUCUAUGAUACGUUAUUAAAAGCUUUGUGUUCCCUUUGCCACACCUCUGCCUGCAGUCAUUUGUGCUGUGUCACAGCCCCCCAGCUCCCCACACCCACCUCUGGGGCAGGAUGGGGCACCACAGAUGGCCGUGUCCCUCAGCUGCCGCCGCCAGCUCCACCCUGCUCUCUCCCUGCCGUUCUUUGUGCAGCAGGAUGCAGAGGGCGUUUCACACAGCUCUCCAUGGUACAUGCUCAGUGCAUGAAUUGCCGCGGGGAUGGGUAGCAGGCAUGGGCAGAUGGAGGGGAAUCACCCUGGCUCACUACAUCCAGAAGAGACUCCAGCAGGGGCAGUUCCCAUGGAGGGGUGAAACAGGGGCAGCUGGGCCUGCUGUGCAGAUAGGCAUAAAGAUACCUCCCAUGCUAUGGCUCUUCUGCCCCCACAUUGUUUGGGUCCUGCCAGUUUUGUCUUCAGACAGGGACCCAAUCAACUCCGUACACACAGAGCAGGAUUUUCCAGCUGGCGGCCGGUCACGAGUGCUGCCCCCCAGGGCUUGGUACUGGGGCCGCUCCUAUUGAACACAUUUGUCAAUGAUCUUGAUGAGGGGACUGAGUGCACCCUCAGUGCGUUCACAGACGGCACCAGGUUGGGAGGGAGCACUGAUCUGCUGGAGGGAAAGGCACUGCAGAGGGACCUGGAUAGACUGGGUCGAUUGUAUGGUUGGGUUGUGGUUGGAUUUGAUGAUCUUGAAGCUCUUUUCCAACCUGAGCGAUUCUAAGGUUGUAUGAUCCCAUAUCCAUUCCAAGUCCAUCCCGUAUCCAGAGCCCAUCCCAUAUAUACCCCAAUUCCUGAUAUCCCAUCCCAUAUCCAUAUCCCCGCACCCCACAUCCUAAUUGCAAAUCUCAUUCCCAACCCCUCAUCCCAACACCAUCACCCACCCGUCAAUCUCAAUCCCUUAUCCCAAUCGCAAUCCCACAUCCCCAAUCCCGAUCCCAAUCCCAUCCCCUAUGACAAUAGAGAGCACCAUACCGAGGCCCCUCCCCCACAGCUGCUCCACCCCACCCCCGACCUCUCAUUGGUUAGGGGCACUUCCGGUCUGUUCAUGCCUCUCAUUGGUCAGCGGCAUUUCUGGCCCGCCUCCGGUUUCUGAUUGGUCAGCAGCUGCGCCUCCGGCUCCGAUUGGCUGAGAAGACGAGGACAAAAAGAGAGAAGAGUGGAACUGUACUCACUCCGCACAUGCAGAGGUGAGUCAUUGGUGAGCACAGAUACGGCUCUUGUUGUUCUCAGGGCCUCCAUCUGACAGACAUGAAAGAUAUUGCAGAAUCCCAGGGCAAGCCAUGUAAUAGGAAAACACCCAGCUGUGUGUUUGAGGAAAUCACGCUGUCAGUCAGAGCUGCUUUGGGGAGCUUGGAUGCCUUCCUCUGGCUUGAGAAGGACACUGUUGGUAACGGCUGGAGGGUUUUGCUGUGAUAAAGAGCCUUGCCAUGUUGGGCACUGCGACCUUUGGAACCUCGUUCCCCCUGCAGAGCAUAGGCAGUGUGUUAUGGGAAGGAAUGUCAGUGUCCUGAAUGGCAGGAACGUGCUGUGCCACAUGGGGCCAUUCUGGAAGUUUACUGAUCAGACUUUCUUAAUGAGAUCUCCCUAGAUUGUUUCUGUCCUCUCUCUACAUUUGCCUUGUUUCUUUCUAGUUCUCCGCAGUGAGCAGCCUUGUGGAGAUGAUGCAGAAGCUGCAGCUGAAGGACUGAGAGGAGGAGCAGAAGGCAGCAGCUGCAGUGCGCGGAGUUACAGGGCAGCAUUCCGAGUGCCACCCAACUCGGCACUCCAGCUUUGGCUGUAGUCAAUAAAAAACAGUCACAAUUAGAGAUUGACA
rnacentral:lncRNA from 1 species